rnacentral:rRNA from 1 species
GACGAACGCUGGCGGCGUGCUUAACACAUGCAAGUCGAACGGAAAGGCCCUGCUUUUGUGGGGUGCUCGAGUGGCGAACGGGUGAGUAACACGUGAGUAACCUGCCCUUGACUUUGGGAUAACUUCAGGAAACUGGGGCUAAUACCGGAUAGGAGCUCCUGCUGCAUGGUGGGGGUUGGAAAGUUUCGGCGGUUGGGGAUGGACUCGCGGCUUAUCAGCUUGUUGGUGGGGUAGUGGCUUACCAAGGCUUUGACGGGUAGCCGGCCUGAGAGGGUGACCGGCCCCAGAGGGCGAGGGGCAGGGCCAGACCCCAUACGGGAGGAAGGGGGGGGAAAAUUGAGAAGAGGGGCGGAGCCAUGAGAGAACGACCCCGGGUGGGGGAAGACGGCUUUCGGGUUUGAAACCGUUUUCGCGUGUGAAGGAGCGGGUGGAAGGGAAAUGGGAAAAAAGCCACGGCUAACUUAGGG